AGAGUUUGAUUAUGGCUCAGGAUGAACGCUGGCGGCGUGCCUAACACAUGCAAGUCGAACGAAGCAUAUACGGCAGAACUUUCGGAGUGAAGCGGUUUAUGACUUAGUGGCGGACGGGUGAGUAACGCGUGGGCAACCUGCCCGUUAACCGGGGGACAACAGUUGGAAACGGCUGCUAAUACCGCAUAAGCGCACGGAACCGCAUGGUUCAGUGUAGAAAAAUUCCGGUGGUUAAGGAUCGGGCCCGCGUUGGAUUAGGUAGUUGGUGCGGUAACGGCGCACCAAGCCGACGAUCCAUAGCCGACCUGAGAGGGUGACCGGCCACAUUGGGACUGAGACACGGCCCAGACUCCUGGCGGGAGGCAGCAGGUGGGGAAUAUUGCACAAUGGGGGAAACCCUGAUGCAAGCGACGCCGCGUGAGUGAAGAAGUAUUUCGGUAUGUAAAGCUCUUUCGGCAGGGAAGAAGAUGACGGUACCUGCAGAAGAAGCCCCGGCUAACUACGUGCCAGCCGCAGC
rnacentral:rRNA from 1 species